CUACGGGGGGCAGCAGUGAGGAAUAUUGCACAAUGGGGGGAACCCUGGUGCAGCAACGCCGCGUGGAGGAUGACGCAUUUCGGUGUGUAAACUCCUUUUAUAUGUCAAGAAAAUGACGGUAGCAUAUGAAUAAGCACCGGCUAGACUCCGUGCCAGCAGCCGCGGUAAUACGGAGGGUGCAAGCGUUACUCGGAAUCACUGGGCGUAAAGGACGCGUAGGCGGGUUGGAAAGUCAGGUGUGAAAUCCUACAGCUUAACUGUAGAACUGCACUUGAAACUUCUAAUCUAGAGUAUGGGAGGGGGAGAUGGAAUUAGUGGUGUAGGGGUAAAAUCCGUAGAUAUCACUAGGAAUACCUAAAGCGAAGGCGAUCUCCUGGAACAUUACUGACGCUAAGGCGUGAAAGCGUGGGGAGCAAACAGGAUUAGAUACCCUUGUAGUC
rnacentral:rRNA from 1 species